CGUUGAAACACCGGCUCUCAUACAAUCUUCGAGGUUAAGCAACGUCGAGCCUGAACAGUAACUAAAUGGGUGAGCGCUUGGGAAUACCCGGUGUUC